CUCCAGUACAUUCCAAGACGUCACAACUUCCUCUCCAAGUUGACAAGAUACAAGGCCCACCUCACUCACCUUAUUUGGACAUAUUCUACAAUUAAUGUCCAAUAUUUUCAUUUAUGCUUUGUUUCUUUCUUUGAAGUCUUAGACAUUGUACUCAGCUCUAUAUAAGUUGAUUUCUCAUUCAUUGUAAAGCACCCUUGAUCAUUUUAAAGUAAUAGAAAAUGUUUUCUUGUCAAAGUUGAGUCUUUGUCAUUUGUUCUGUAGUUCUUUGUGAGUGAGUCACUAAGUACUUCAGGAAUCUGCGGAUUAAGUUUGUUGAGUGAUUCAACAUCCUUUAUUUGUUCAUUGAUCGAGUGAGUCGAUUAACCCACUGAUUGAGCGAGUCAAUCACCUUUCUAUCCAUCAUUUCCCCUUGAAUUGAUUCCACAC